GGCAGCUUGCUCUCCGGGUGACGAGUGGCGGACGGGUGAGUAAUGUCUGGGAAACUGCCCGGUGGAGGGGGAUAACUACUGGAAACGGUAGCUAAUACCGCAUAACGUCUUCGGACCAAAGUGGGGGAUCUUCGGACCUCACGCCACCGGAUGUGCCCAGAUGGGAUUAGCUAGUAGGUGGGGUAACGGCUCACCUAGGCGACGAUCCCUAGCUGGUCUGAGAGGAUGACCAGCCACACUGGAACUGAGACACGGUCCAGACUCCUACGGGAGGCAGCAGUGGGGAAUAUUGCACAAUGGGCGCAAGCCUGAUGCAGCCAUGCCGCGUGUAUGAAGAAGGCCUUCGGGUUGUAAAGUACUUUCAGCGGGGAGGAAGGCGGUGAGGUUAAUAACCUCGCCGAUUGACGUUACCCGCAGAAGAAGCACCGGCUAACUCCGUGCCAGCAGCCGCGGUAAUACGGAGGGUGCAAGCGUUAAUCGGAAUUACUGGGCGUAAAGCGCACGCAGGCGGGUCUGUUAAGUCAGAUGUGAAAUCCCCGGGCUUAAACCUGGGAACUGCAUUUGAAACUGGCAGGCUUGAG
rnacentral:rRNA from 1 species